UGUACUUUCUAAGCGGGGGAUAGCUUGUUUAGAUAACCACUGCAGUAUAAAAGCAAUGGAAUAUAUAUCUGCAAUCAUAUUAAUUCAAAUCUAACAAUGGCUGUUUCGAAAAUCAUUGUCGCCUUACUCGUUCUGAGUGCUUUAUUGACUGUUUGUUACGGUCAAGUCUUUCAAGGUGGUCCACAUGGGCCUCAAGGAGGGCCACACCAAGAUCAAGGCAGAAUUCGACGCCAAGCAUCUCAAAACGAAGACGAUGUCAACGAGGUUAAUGAAGACCAGGCAGGUCCCAACGUACUCCAAAACCCACAAAACUGGACGACAUGCGAUAUUGCAGCUGUACCGAGAAUAUCUUGUCACAACUGCAAUACGCGUUUAAUCUGCAAACCAAUCGGUGGUAUUUUGAAAAUCUGCAAUAAUCCGGCUAGACCUUACUGCAAUUCCGGCAUUUGUUCCCCUAUACCCAGUACUAUUUGUGUUUAAAUGCCGUAAUUAUUUUAAAAAUUUAAACAAUAUUAUUUGUGAAAUAUUGGGAUCGAUGGGUAUAUGGUAUAUUUAUAAAAAUAUCUAUAAAACAC